rfam:Alligator mississippiensis ScZkoYb_187, whole genome shotgun sequence.
GUAAUUGGGUGCUCAGUAGUCGGUGUAGAAUCUGUCUGACAUUGAUACCAACAGCUACAUCUGAUUACUGGGUCACUAAUUGCAUCA